GUAACGGGGUGUUAGGGCACGACACCGGAGAGGGAGCCUGAGAAACGGCUACCACAUCCAAGGAUGGCAGCAGGCGCGCAAAUUACCCAAUCCCGACACGGGGAGGUAGUGACAAUAAAUAACAAUACGGGGUCCUUUAGGGUUUCGUAAUUGGAAUGAGUACAAUUUAAAUCUCUUAACGAGGAACAAUUGGAGGGCAGGUCUGGUGCCAGCAGCCGCGGUAAUUCCAGCUCCAAUAGCGUAUAUUAAAGUUGUUGCAGUUAAAAAGCUCGUAGUUGAAUUUCGGGAUUAGUACGUUGGUCGUGCCUUAGGUACGUACUGGUGUUACUGGUUCCUACCUUCUGACGAACCAUCAUGUCAUUAAUUUGGUGUGGCGGGGAAUCAGGACUGUUACUUUGAAAAAAUUAGAGUGUUUAAAGCAGGCUCGCGCUUGAAUACAUUAGCAUGGAAUAAUGAAAUAGGACGUUGAUCCUAUUUUGUUGGUUUCUAGGAUUGACGUAAUGAUUAAUAGGGAUAGUUGGGGGCAUUAGUAUUCAAUUGUCAGAGGUGAAAUUCUUGGAUUUAUUGAAGACUAACUACUGCGAAAGCAUUUGCCAAGGAUGUUUUCAUUAAUCAAGAACGAAAGUUAGGGGAUCGAAGACGAUCAGAUACC
rnacentral:rRNA from 1 species